CCGAUGUUAAACCGACUCUCGGUGUGUUUGCUGACGUCGGUGGGAUUAACGGACGCCGCUCAAGCGUUAUAUGAAUCGACUCUGACAUCUUAAACUUAACAAGAUUCACACCUGGGAGCAGCUCAGUGUAACCGCCGCUCCGUUUUAAGAUGAAGUAGCCGUCUCUGCUGAAGGGCGACAGCAGUGAGCUGGACAGUGAAACCUGGAGAUAAAGAUGCUGAAGGAUUCAGUUACAAGACAGAAGACCGAGGUGACUGAGCUCCUCAAAGGCCUCUACAAACAGUCCCGCUACUUGACAAAGCCUGGAGAGAGCUCAAAGCACUAAGUGGGAUCCUCCAGCAGAAGAUCUGGAAGCAAACCAAUCUGGGGGGAACAAGAUCUUCCAGUGCAGACGUGAUCAGCAGAACCAAGCAGUUAGUCCAGAUCUUGAAGGACCACAGCUGCCUCCUGUAUGUGGUCCUGGUCCAGGAUAUCCUGAAAAUUUUGAGCUGGUCAUUUUUUGUGUGUUUUUUUCUCUGUAUUGUUUUGACUGAUUAGUUCAGUGUUACUAAGUCUAAUAGUGACAUUGAUAUUCUUUGCGGUCUAAGUCUGAAGCUUAGACUAAGUCUGAAGGACAGUGUUACACUCCCCAACACCUUACAGGUCUUUGAGAUCGCACGGCUCAUGCUCAUGAGCAUGCUCUCAACAACUAGAGAGAGCCUUGAAGACUUUCUUCAAGACUCCGCAGAGAGCCAUUUCCAUGCAGUGCAGCUCCAGAGCUUUAGCCAGGAGAGCAGGGAUAGCUACGACAGGUCGCAAAUGAAAAGGGAAAAAUAAGAACAUUAGUUGUAGUUGUGUUAUAAUUCAGUUAUCCUGUUGUUCAUAAAAGGGCUCACUCAAUCCUGUUCACUGAGUGACAUGUCUUAAUUGCACAUUGUCACUGCCUUUGAAAGAAACAAUUUAAAAUUUAAUUUUAUGUUGAUAGUUUGAAGAGCCAGCUCCUUAAUGCAGUCAUCAAAAUGGUGAGGAACCGUUUCAACAACCUGGAGAGUAACAAGAUUCUUCAGGCGUCUGCAAUGUUGGUGGACCUGAGGGAGUGGAGGAUGCAGACCUGGCCAGUUACAGAGCACACCAUCUCCAUCUCAUCACAGAAACACUUUACUGUUGUAUCGUGUUUAUUGGGACUAUGUACAGUAUUAAACAUAAAUGUUAACAUUUGAUGUACAGCAGUCCCUUACAAUUAAAACAUAUAACAGCACAUUGAAAAACAGUACAAAGCAAAAAACACACAGGGCACAUUAUAUAAAAUACAAAGCUACAUACAAUAGCAUAUCACAUACAAUACUGACGUACUGGACAGGGUGGGCUAUGACAGGUCAAGCAAGGCACCAGAAGUGGCCAAGCGCAAAAGUGUUGAUCAAAGCGCUGCCCCAGGUCCAACAAAGCAAUGUAUGGGCAGACUUUCUAACAGACUCUGAAAGGCUGCAGAGCUUCCACAACCUGCUGAUGGUGGUUGAGCUGAUCCUCGUGCUCCUACUAUCCACCGCUGCCUGUGAGUGCUGCUUCAGUGCCAUGAAGUGCAUUAAAAUGGAUUGUCGGAGCAACCUUUCAGUUGAAAUGCUGUGGAAACUGCUAUACAUUAGCAUUGAGGGGCCAGCAUUUGCCACUUUCAGUGCUGAGUGUGUUGUACAAAGACAGCUGUCAGCAGGGCAAACAGCAUGGAGCAUGUUAGGGGUAAUUAAGAUUUGUAUUUGUAUGGUUUCAUUAGUUUUUUAGAUGCGAAGAAUCUGCUGUUUAGCCUGUACUUUCACUCCCUCACUCACUCACUCACUCACUCAUAGUUAACGAGUCCAUCUCUUGGGAGGAAGAGGGGAUGGGAUGGGUCCAUUUUCGAUAUGCAUUGAUGUUCGUUGUUUCGCAUGUAUAACACUCUGUGUCCUUGUUCAGUUUCAUUUACUUAAAUAAAGAUUAAACAUGACAGUUAA